rfam:Schistosoma curassoni strain Dakar, Senegal genome assembly, scaffold: SCTD_contig0001455
AUCCAGCUGAUGAGUCCCACAUAGGACAAAACGCGAGACAUGGAU